ACCUGCCUGCAGAUUGCACUGCACACAAUCUAGCACUUCAGGGGCUCAUGAAAAUGGGAAAGGGGAAGGCUGGGAAAGGGCCAUCAAAGAAGUGGUGCUUAGGGGAAGGGAGAAACCCAGUCUUCCACCAAUCAGAAUAGUUUCACUUUUAUCAUAUGUGUCUGUGUGUGCGUAUAUGCAUAUAUCUGUACACACACACACAGGUUUUGUGACAUUUUCUUUUGUAAACAAAAAAGUCCCUUUGCUCAAAAAGAAAGGAAAAUGUUUGCAAACAGUUGGACUUUGUGAAUUCCAAGGGCUUCCUUCCAGUUCUUUUCAGAUUUUUGAAAACCAAGUGGGUUGCUCUCAGUUAGAACUCAAGCAGCAUGAUGGAGAAGGAGGAAAAAGGACCUGACUAACGAGGACGUCACUGUGAGACAAAGAUCAUGAAGGGAUCGGCCUGCGGUGUGUCUCAUUUCCUGUGGGUGAUAGGCACCACGAUAGUUCUGUGGGUGGUGACAGGCUCGGCUGCCAGCAAUCCCCUGCCAGGAAGGCGGUCAGGCAACCCUGGGGAAUGUGUCCAGCUUGAAAGUCUUCCAGACUUGGUCUUUGGAAAGUGGCAGGGAAGCCCCCCUCCAUCCUCCAUCAUUGCUGGAGGCCUUGUGACACUGGGACGAUGCAGGACUUGGGGUCUAGGGGACCUGAGCUGAAUGCUGCCUCUGUCUCUUACAACCUGUGGAAUGUUCAGCAAAAGACACAGCUUCUUGGAGGCCCAGCUUAUUUGUCUGGGAGGUGUGGCAGAAGCAGUCCUACCCUGAAGGGAUGCUGCCAUCCUAAAGAGAUGAGGAAUCACCAGGCCUAUCUCCAUCAGCUCUCCCAGGAAACAUGACCUGUAUUAACCAUCUCCUAAUGAUCUUCAGCAGCCAUUCUCCACCACAGCAGCAAAUAAAAUCUUUGAAUGUUA